rnacentral:lncRNA from 1 species
GGCAACCCGGUCAGGUCCCCUUCCAUGCUGUGGAAGAUUUGUUCUUUCACUCUUCACAAUAAUUCUUGCUGCUGCUCACUCUUUGGGUUCGCACUACCUUUAUGAGCUGUAACACUCACUGCGAAGGUCUGCGGCUUCACUCCUGAAGUCAAGCGAGACCAUGAACCCACCAGAAGGAAGAAACUCCAGACCCAUCUGAACAUCUGAAGGAACAAACUC